rnacentral:rRNA from 1 species
UACGUAGGCAGCGAGCGUUGUUCGGAGUUACUGGGCGUAAAGGGUGUGUAGGCGGUUUUCUAAGUUUGGUGUGAAAUCUCCCGGCUCAACCGGGAGGGUGCGCCGAAAACUGGGAGACUAGAGUGCGGGAUGGGAGAGUAGAAUUCCUGGUGUAGCGGUGAAAUGCGUAGAUAUCAGGAGGAAUACCUGUGGCGAAAGCGGCGCACUGGACCACAUCUGACGCUGAGGCGCGAAAGCUAGGGGAGCAAACAGG